UGGACUACUUUAUUCUUUCCGUCCAGCGGGUUGUCGCAACGCGAAAAACAGCCGGAGGGAAAAAUACAGAGCCGCCACCGACGCUAUUCAUCCUCUGACGGAAAGGGAGCGCAGGACUAACCUAAGAAAGGGAAAGGAAUGGUCUUACGACCAGAGAUUGCAAGGUACGGGAGUCGGUUACGCAAGGGGAAGACGCUAUUCAUCCUCUGACGGAAAGGGAGCGCAGGACUAACCUAAGAAAGGGAAAGGAAUGGUCUUACGACCAGAGAUUGCAAGGUACGGGAGUCGGUUACGCAAGGGGAAGGUAUUAGCACCCCCUCUUGUCCGUCGUACUCGACGGGAUCCACGCUCAAAAGAAUAGGAAAAGGUUG
rnacentral:lncRNA from 1 species